CCCUUGUUUCCAAUAUCCGAAUUGCCUUUUCACGUAGGUCAGAUCUUGUUGUACCUCAAUCUGCUUUGGAUCGGCUUCCUCUAAUGGUACUCGCAUGCACUUCUUCAAUUGACACAUGAAAGAUAUCAUGUACUCCUACCAAAUUGUGAGGCAAUUCCAACUGGUAGUCCAGAUCAUCUCUGCGCACUUUUAUUUGGUCUGAAGUUGAUGUACUCCACAGAGUGGCAUGACUCAAACGUAUAUGUGAUCUCUUUCUUCAAAACUCAAAUAUCUUUGACGGUUGUCC
rnacentral:lncRNA from 1 species